GUCGGCUUGCUUCUUUCCCGGUAUGAAAUGGGUCCUCAGACCACCUCUUCCCUUUUACUUGCGUCACUAUGAUCGAUUUCACAGUACAAAAUUUAGAUGAUAAAAAGAAAAAAGAAGAAAAAGGUGAUUCACAUAUUGGAAAUCAGAAUCAUGUAUAUACGUACGUGUUUGUUAUAUUAUUGCAGCAACACAUGCAGAAGCUUUCAUGGCUUUAGUUAUAUUAUUGUUAGUCGAGCUUGUUUUCUGGGUUGGAAAGUGAAAAAAGGGGUAUGGAUGAGGAAAAUGUUGAAGUGGAGGAACAUAUUUAAAAAGAGUGGUGAAAAGAGAGGACUAUUGAAGCAAAUCACAGGCAAAAGUAUGGAAGAUGGAUUGGCAUAAGAAAAAGGUCACAUGAAAGAGGGUGCGGGAGGGGGGAAGGAGAUAUUUGCUCACGAAGGUCACAGAAAUAGAUGGACAAGGGUGAUUAAAGUUGGCGUACAACAAUAAUAUACUGAAAUGAAAGAGGCUUCUUUUUAUGUGAAUCCCUGACUUUCCGAAUUUGCUCGGCAAAAGUAGAACAAUAAAUGAAUGUUGUGAA
rnacentral:lncRNA from 1 species